UUACCGCUUUUCGUGUUCACGGCAGACCUUGAUUUAAUAACAAUACAAUUAAGGCACGCGGUGAAUGCCAAAAGAGGAAUC
rfam:Salmo salar isolate Sally breed double haploid chromosome ssa15, whole genome shotgun sequence.